GACGAACGCUGGCGGCGUGCCUAAUACAUGCAAGUCGAGCGAACAGAGAAGGAGCUUGCUCCUUCGACGUUAGCGGCGGACGGGUGAGUAACACGUGGGCAACCUACCUUAUAGUUUGGGAUAACUCCGGGAAACCGGGGCUAAUACCGAAUAAUCUGUUUCACCUCAUGGCGAAACACUGAAAGACGGUUUCGGCUGUCGCUAUAGGAUGGGCCCGCGGCGCAUUAGCUAGUUGGUGAGGCAACGGCUCACCAAGGCGACGAUGCGUAGCCGACCUGAGAGGGUGAUCGGCCACACUGGGAAUGAGACACGGCCCAGACUCCUACGGGAGGCAGCAGUAGGGAAUCUUCCACAAUGGGCGAAAGCCUGAUGGAGCAACGCCGCGUGAGUGAAGAAGGAUUUCGGUUCGUAAAACUCUGUUGUAAGGGAAGAACAAGUACAGUAGUAACUGGCUGUACCUUGACGGUACCUUAUUAGAAAGCCACGGCUAACUACGUGCCAGCAGCCGCGGUAACAC
rnacentral:rRNA from 1 species